rnacentral:rRNA from 1 species
AUUGAACGCUGGCGGAAUGCUUUACACAUGCAAGUCGAACGGCAGCACGGACUUCGGUCUGGUGGCGAGUGGCGAACGGGUGAGUAACAUAUCGGAACGUAUCCAAUAAUGGGGGAUAACUAAUAGAAAGGUUGGCUAAUACCGCAUACGCCAUAAGGGGGAAAGCUAGGGACCUUCGGGCCUGGCGCUAAUGGAGCGGCCGAUAUCUGAUUAGCUAGUUGGUGGGGUAAAGGCCCACCAAGGCGACGAUCAGUAGCUGGUCUGAGAGGACGACCAGCCACACUGGAACUGAGACACGGUCCAGACUCCUACGGGAGGCAGCAGUGGGGAAUUUUGGACAAUGGGCGCAAGCCUGAUCCAGCCAUUCCGCGUGAGUGAAGAAGGCCUUCGGGUUGUAAAGCUCUUUCGCAAGGGAAGAAAACUUAGCCUCUAACAUAGGCUGAGGUUGACGGUACCUUGAUAAGAAGCACCGGCUAACUACGUGCCAGCCGCCGCCGUAA